UGGGGAAUAUUGCACAAUGGGGGAAACCCUGAUGCAGCGACGCCGCGUGAACGAAGAAGGUAUUCGUAUCGUAAAGUUCUGUCCUAUGGGAAGAUAAUGACAGUACCAUAGAAGAAAGCUCCGGCUAAAUACGUGCCAGCAGCCGCGGUAAUACGUAUGGAGCGAGCGUUGUCCGGAAUUAUUGGGCGUAAAGGGUACGCAGGCGGUUUAAUAAGUCGAAUGUUAAAGAUCGGGGCUCAACCCCGCAAAGCAUUGGAAACUGAUAAACUUGAGUAGUAGAGAGGAAAGUGAAAUUCCUAGUGUAGUGGUGAAAUACGUAGAUAUUAGGAGGAAUACCAGUAGCGAAGGCGACUUUCUGGACACAAGCUGACGCUGAGGUACGAAAGCGUGAGGAGCAAACAGG
rnacentral:rRNA from 1 species